AAGUGGUUAUGUUGCAAAGCAAUUUAAAUUUGGUAGUAGAAUGGCUAAGGCUUAGUAGGAGAGUAGGCCUAGAAAGCAACACUCCAAAGUAGUAAGUUAGCAACCUUGUUUGUGAGCAUGAAAUGUACUGAAGAAGUGGAAACAAUAAUCAAAGGAUUUAGUCAAGCAUGUAUAUAAUGAUUUGUUACCUUGGAUGUGGUAAGGGUCUGUUAAACAGUUUCUAGGGGUAAGACAACUUAAGCAGAUUUAUGAUUAGAGUAAAUGAUUAUCAAUUGUUAUCAGUAUGAAGUAUGAGCUUGUUUGUAACUGAAUGAAACUGUUUUGCUGUGGAAACUGCACGUAAACUUGUUUGUGUAUAUAAGCUGAAUUGAGAAUGAGGGUCUUCGGAAUCCUGACUUGGGACGCUAGUCCUCAGGUUCCCGGGGCCCCGAAUAAAGCACCGCAUAAAC